UAUAUUUGUUAAACUCAUAAUUUUGAUCCAAUAUACCUAGGUUAAUAUGUUUCUCUGAUUACACUCUGCUUUAUUCUAAGGCCAAUUUACAAGGGUUAACUCUCAAUCUAAUAGGUUUUUAAAAAAUAAGCUACAAGGCUUUUGUGUGUCUGUUUGCUUUGUGUGGGUGCACCGGUGUACUGUCUGUCUACAUGUAUUGCCAUGUCUACAUGUAUUUGGUACAAAAAAUUGACAUAUAAGCUCAUAAAUUAAAAUUAAAAAAAAUAGAUCCAAAUGCUUUUGGUUAAUAUGAUCAAAAAGUUUCAAUUCAAAUUGGGAAAAUAGAUAAAAGUACAAAUGUCUUUAAAGUUACUAGUGCACAGUUUUGUUUCUAGAUGGUUAAACAGCUGUUAAAAUGUUAAUGUCUAUAAAGUGUCUUAUAUCCAUUGUCUCUAGGAUUUUUAUUCAACAACACACACAAAAAAAGAUUACUAAUACUAUUCAAUGCACUUGUCUGAUACCUUGUUUUUAAAAAAGGAUACAUAAAUUUCAUCUAAAGAUAUAUGAAAUUAAUCAUGGAUGUGUUUGUUAGAGACAUCUAAUUGGUUUACAAAGAUAAAAUGCUGACUGUUAAAUAUAAUAUCAAAUACUUUUAACUCCUUACAUUCCAUAAGGUAAAAUACUUAAACAAUGUUGGUGUUUUCAUAAAUUGGUAAACUGAAAAGGAAAUUUGUAAUCAUUUUGUGUUAUUAUAAAACACGGUUACUCUAAAUUACAAAGUCCCAACAGGUAUAAUUCUACAUACAAGGAGUCAAGAGGUUUCAACUGUAUUUCAAUUAAAGUACUGUAAGUAACAAAUAUUUCAUCUUAUUAAAAUAGAUCAAUUUAUCUAAAUUCAAAAAUUUAUAAGGGUUAUUUCAAGAUACUAACAAAAAAAGGAUCAAUGGGUUAAAAAUUAUUUAAAAGUUCUAAAUAUAAAAAUAUAUUUAAUAAAAAACAUUUCCAGGUAAAAAGUCUUUAUGUGGGAAAAUAUAAUUAUAAUACAUCUAAAUAAACAACAAAAGGGUCUAAUUAAGUAAUAUAAAGGUCUAUAAAUAAAAGAAAAAUAUUAAAAGGUUUAUAUAUAACUAAGUUGGUUAUAUAUGUAACACAAAUAGUUAAAACUAUUCAAAGUUGUUCCCCAAGGACAAAUAAUAAUGUACUGAUAUAUUUAUAUGUUAAAAUGACAAGAACUUCUAAAAAUAUUAAUUACAUUAUGUCUGUUAAGUUUUAUCCCCUAGAACAAGUAAUCUUGGAGAAAUUAAGGUUUGUACAUCUGUGGCUAAACAGCAACUGUUAUUUUAAAGUAUUGUCCUACAUUACAAAUUUCUAGAUUUUCCUUUAAAAGCUAACCUUGGUUAAUAUAAAAACAUCAGUAAAAGUGUGGUAAAUUACUCUUCCUUACAGAUUAAAUGUGUUCAUAUCUUUCAUGUAUACAAGUCUUUAAGGUAAAAGGUUUAAAGGAACAUUUUAUCAAGCUGGUAUUCUCCAAACUAAAAUUGUCUGUAAUGGUAAUUUAAACUUAUAAAGAUAAUAAAUGUUAUUGGGGAUUUAUUUAUAUUCUUUGAUGUUUUCUAACCAAAUCUUAUGUUACCUUUUACACUAAGAUAUAAAAAUUUAAAGAUAUUUUAAAAGUAAUGAGAGCCUAAACUAUUUAAAGAUUAAUAUUAUAAAACUUUUCCACAAGUAAAAAAAAAUGUUAAGAGCUCUCAGCCUUUCCUUAAUUAAUGUUUCAGAUGUAUGUCAUAUUGUGCUACUAACAUUCAUACAAAGUCAGGAAACAAUAUAUGUAAACUUUAUAAAAUGAUAUCUAAAAAGAGAGACAAAGAUCAGGUUUAAAACUAAAACACUUUACCUAAGAUUUGUAAAAGGCCCUGCCUUACCUGAGAUAAGGCUCUGCAUCCCACCUUACAGCAUGCCAAAAUAACUUCAAAGUAGGCCAGAUUUCAGUUAAUUUAAAGUUAUAUUCAAAGAUUAAUUUAUUACAAAGAUUACUGUUAUCUCAAAUAAAAAAUAUAAUGUAUAACUCAGCCAAGUUUCAAAAUAAUAUACAAGUUAAAUAUGUUUUUAUUAUUGUUAAUUUCACUUUGUAUUUUCAUUAUAUCUAAAAAAAAAAUGUGACCACUGCACUCAGAGCAACCAAGAGACCUUUACUGUGACAGUGUCUGAUUAACACAAAGAGAGAGAGAGAGAGAGAG
rnacentral:lncRNA from 1 species